rnacentral:rRNA from 1 species
CAGCAGCCACGGGAAUACGUAGGGUGCAAGCGUUAAUCGGAAUUACUGGGCGUAAAGCGUGCGCAGGCGGUUUGUUAAGACAGAUGUGAAAUCCCCGGGCUCAACCUGGGAACUGCAUUUGUGACUGGCAAGCUAGAGUCUGGCAGAGGGGGGUGGAAUUCCGCGUGUAGCAGUGAAAUGCGUAGAGAUGUGGAGGAAUACCGAUGGCGAAGGCAGCCCCCUGGGCCAAUACUGACGCUCAUGCACAAAAGCGUGGGGAGCAAACAGGAUUAGAGACCCCCGUAGUCCCUGUCUCUUAUAC